rnacentral:rRNA from 1 species
GAUGAACGCUGGCGGCGUGCCUAAUACAUGCAAGUCGAGCGAACAGACGAGGAGCUUGCUCCUCUGACGUUAGCGGCGGACGGGUGAGUAACACGUGUAUAACCUACCUAUAAGACUGGGAUAACUUCGGGAAACCGGAGCUAAUACCGGAUAAUAUAUUGAACCGCAUGGGUCAAUAGUGAAAGACGGUGUUGGUGGCACUUAUAGAUGGAUCCGGGCCGUAUUGGGGAGUUGGUAAGGUAAAGGCUUAUCAAGGGAACGAUGCGUAGGCGAGCGGAGGGAGGGGUCGCCCACCUGGGAACUGAGCCUCGCACCAGACUCCUACGGGAGGCCGCAGUAGGCAAUGUUACGCAAUGGGCGAAAGCCUGACGGAGCAACGCCGCGUGAGUGAUGACGGUCUUCCGAUCGUAAAACCCUGUUAUUAGGGAAGAACAACUGUGUAAGUAACUAUGCACGUAUUGACGGUACCUAAUCAGAAAGCCACGGCUAACUACGUG